UUAAACAAAUAAAGAUAAAAUUUUAACCUCAAAUAGAGAGAAUAAGUACCGCAAAAUUUUGACUGAAUUUUUAUUAAAACACCCACGAAUAUUUUUGUAUAUGUGUUGUAUUUAGGUAUUUGUGCGUUUUGAUACUUUGGGUCGCUGAUUUUUUCUUUUUGCUGCGUUUGUGUAGAUUUUUUUGUUUUGGUGUUGUGCGUAUAUAGCAGUGUAUAUAUGUGCAGAUUUUGUAUUUCCUUAUGAUGUGUGUGUCGUGUAUGAUGGGUUUGUUUGAGAUAAUUGAUUUUUUCUUUUAUUUGUUAUCGUGUUGUAAUUUAUAGGGGAGUGCAGAUGAGGUUGUGUAGUCGUGUACGGUGGGGCGUGUUGUUCAUAUUGUAGUUUAUAGGGGUAUGGGUGUAGUGAGUAGAAACGAAAGCGGGGUAGCGGUUGACUAUAUCAUAUAUUUAUAUAAAAGAAAAUUCUAGGUCUGUCUAUGUGGCACCAUCAUAAAUCAGGUUUUCAGGUUAAUUUUUUUUUUAAAAAAACUAUCCUCCCUUUCAUGAAUAAUUGUGAAUUUUAUGAAAAGUUGCAACUUUUAUGAAAAAUUAUGACUGUUAUGAAAGAUGUAACUUUUUCAAAGAGUUGUGACUCUUUCGAUAAGGCACAAUACACAUUUAUUCAUACUACCCUAUGUUUUCUAUGAAUAGAGAAAUUUCAUGCCAUUAUAAUUUGAAGGUUUCCCGCCUUCUCUGUAGGGUAGUCAAAUUCAUAUAAAUUAAUUAAAUUUUUAAGUUUGUUUUAUUCUGGAUAGUUUUCAUGGAGAUUAAUCUUUACAAUAAUUCAUAGUGAUUCAUGUUACUUUGUAUAAACAAAGAAAAGUGACUUCAAUUGCAAUGCGACAUUACCAUUCUUAAAGCUCGUAGUGCACAAUUCAUAACGCUGUUGAAAUGGUUGAUAGUUGAAUUCAUUACAUUUGGUUCUGUAGUUUUCAUCAUAUACUUUUUGAGAAAACUGCUUAUGGGUUGUGCUAUAUAUGAUAGCACAUAACAACAAAAUAUGCGGUAACUAUGGAACCAAUGAUGAAGUUUGAAAAGAACCAAAAUUAUUUAUCUCUUGCUUGUCACAGUUAGUAUAUUACUUUGAUUGUUUUUUUAGGUGCAAUCAUUUUGUAUGCCAUUGCACCAUUCGUACAAUAUUUGUAUAGAGACAAUUCGUCCGCAUCUUUUAU